CCGGGGUUGUGGACCGGCGCACGGCAGAAUAAGUUAGCUGAACGGUAUGGGAAGGCCGACCAUAGCGGGUGAUAGUCCCGUAAGCGAAAACUGAGUUCUGUCAGCUGGGAUCCAGAGUACCGCAGGACACGUGAAACCCUGUGGGAAACCGGGGGGACCACCCUCCAACCCUAAAUACUACCUGAUGACCGAUAGAGGAGCAGUACCGUGAGGGAAAGGUGAAAAGCACCCCGGGAGGGGAGUGAAAUAGUACCUGAAACCUUGUGCUUACAAGCAGACAUAGCCCGUUAAAGGGUGGUGUCGUACUUUUUGUAGAACGGUCCGGCGAGUUAUAGUAACUGGCGAGCUUAAGGUAUUCAGUACCGGAGGCGAAGGGAAACCGAGUGUGAAGAGCGCGUGAAGUCAGUUGCCAUAGACCCGAAACCAGGUGACCUAGCCAUGUCCAGGAUGAAGUGGAGGUAAAGCUCCAUGGAGGUCCGAACCCACGUACGUUGCAAUGUCCGGGGAUGAGGUGUGGCUAGCGGUGAAAUUCCAAACGAACUUGGAGAUAGCUGGUUCUCCCCGAAAUAGCUUUAGGGCUAGCGUAGGUAAUGAGUUUCACGGAGGUAAAGCACUGUCUGAGCUAGGGGGCGAUAAGCUUACUGAACUCUAACAAACUAAGAAUGCCGUAGAAAUGCUUACCUGCAGUCAGACUGCGAGUAAUAAAAUCCGUGGUCAAAAGGGAAACAGCCCAGACCCACAGCUAAGGUCCCAAAUAUACGCUAAGUGGAAAACGAUGUGAGAUUGCAUAAACAACCAGGAUGUUGGCUUAGAGGCAGCCACUCGUUCAAAGAGUGCGUAAUAGCUCACUGGUCGAGUGAUCUUGCGCGGAAAAUUUAACGGGGCUAAGCGUAUAACCGAAGCUUGGGAAUGUCGAAAGACAUUGGUAGGGGAGCGUCGUGUAUGGGGUGAAGUCGCAUCGGAAGGAGCGGUGGACUGUACACGAGUGAGAAUGCCGGAAUGAGUAGCGAGAAUUAUGUGGGAAUCAUAAUGGCCGAAAAUCUAAGGUUUCUUGGGGAAGGUUCGUCCGCCCAAGGUAAGUCGGGAGCUAAGCUGAGGCCGAGAGGCGUAGGCGAUGCACAUACGGUAGAAAUUCCGUAACCACCGAACUUUAAGCAUGAGGGACACUUUGAGAUAGCGGGACCCGGGCGUUGGUAGACCCGGGCGAAAGGGACCGAAAUAUAGUAGGGAAGUCCGCGAUGCUCAGAGGCGAGAAAAGCUCAUGUGUAUACUAAGGUGCCCGUACCGCAAACCGACACAGGUAGAUGAGGAGAGAAUCCUAAGGCCAACGGGAGAAGGGUUGUUAAGGAACUCGGCAAAAUUACCCCGUAACUUCGGGAUAAGGGGAGCUCCCUAAGGGGAGCCGCAGAGAAUAGGCCCAAGCGACUGUUUACCAAAAACACAGGUCUAUGCUAAAUCGAAAGAUGACGUAUAUGGGCUGACGCCUGCCCGGUGCUGGAAGGUUAAGAGGAGGGCUUAGCGCAAGCGAAGGUCUGAAUUGAAGCCCCAGUAAACGGCGGCCGUAACUAUAACGGUCCUAAGGUAGCGAAAUUCCUUGUCAGGUAAGUUCUGACCCGCACGAAUGGCGUAACGAUUUGGGCACUGUCUCAACAGCCCGCCCGGCGAAAUUGUAGUACCGGUGAAGAUGCCGGUUACCCGCAACUAGACGGAAAGACCCCAUGGAGCUUUACUGUAGCUUAAUACUGAGGAUUGGUAAAUCAUGUACAGGAUAGGUGGGAGACAUGGAAGCCUGGGCGUCAGCUCAGGUGGAGUCACCCUUGGGAUACCACCCUUGAUUUGCUGGUUUUCUAACCUGCGGCCGUGAAUCCGGUCGGGGGACACUGUUAGGUGGGCAGUUUGACUGGGGCGGUCGCCUCCUAAAAGGUAACGGAGGCGCUCAAAGGUUCGUUCAGCACGGACGGAAAUCGUGCAGUGAGUGUAAACGCAUAAACGAGCCUAACUGCGAGACCGACGGGUCGAGCAGUAACGAAAGUUGGAGUUAGUGAUCCGGCGGUAUGUGAGUGGAAAUGCCGUCGCUCAACGGAUAAAAGCUACCCUGGGGAUAACAGGCUGAUCUCCCCCAAG
rnacentral:rRNA from 1 species